rnacentral:rRNA from 1 species
UGAGGAAUUUUGGGCAAUGGGCGCAAGCCUGACCCAGCGACGCCGCGUGGAGGAUGAAGGCCUUCGGGUCGUAAACUCCUGUUCUGAGGGAAGAAAACGGGGUGAGCGAAUAACUCAUUCCGCUGACGGUACCUCAGGAGUAAGCUCCGGCUAAUUACGUGCCAGCAGCCGCGGUAAUACGUAAGGAGCAAGCGUUGUCCGGAUUUACUGGGCGUAAAGAGCUCGUAGGCGGCCGAUCAGGUCUCGCGUAAAAUCCCCCGGGCUCAACCGGGGAGGGUCGCGGGAAACCGAACGGCUUGAGGACAGAAAACGGAAAGUGGAAUUCCCGGUGUAGCGGUGAAAUGCGUAGAUAUCGGGAGGAAUACCAGUGGUGAAGACGGCUUCCUGGUCUGUUACUGAC